GGCUCAAUGGUCUAGUGGUAUGAUUCUCGCUUUGGGUUCUUAGCUCGAUUGCGAGAGGCCCCGGGUUCGAAUCCCGGUUGGGCCC